UUUUUUUUCUGUUGUCCACUUCAUGGAUACAUAUCCUCCUGAUUUUCCCUUUACUGCUCCAUGCCUCACACAAAGAUUAGGGGAUGAAGUGCUAAUCGCUGCACCGGGUGGAGUAAAACAGCGUGGCAUGAUCUCACUGUAUAAUACUCCCUACGUCCCAAAAUAACUGUCUUAACUUUGUACUAGCUCUAAUACAAAGUUGUACUAAGCUUGAGACACUUAUUUUGAGAUGGAGGGAGUAGAUAAUUAUAACCAGAUCGAAAUACUUUUAAUGUUUAUGACUGGAGAUUGGUCUUUGAAUGUUCAAGUACUAGAGAUGGAUUCACAUGCAAACACUCCAGUAGACGUAAUCAUGUCACAGCAGCUGUCUCUCCUUAUUCAGACCAAGAACAGAUUUCAUCAGCAGAGAGGACCAUCAAGAGCUUAAUAUGAUUCCUGCUCAUCAGGAUGAACCCAAAAGGGAGGCACACUACUGCAACUUCACCUUUAUUACAUUGUCUUAGGUGAAUUCUAUGCUGAUCUGCUCGUCACGGCAAAUUCGACAUACAAGUUUGACAUAUACACUUCCUUAUAAACACACAACAGUGUUAUUACUUGACAAGCAUCAUCAGCAGGGUUUCCUGCAGAAGCAGACUAACGCGAGAGGUUCUAAGGCGACGAACUCACACUCCCCACGAGGGAACCCCUCCUUGUGGCAGUGCUCGAGGCAUGGAUUGUCCGCGCAGUGGAAAGUAGUGUAUGUCUUGCUCAACACCCUGCAUGUAUCGCCUGCUUCAGAUCCUGCAGUCAAAAUAAGGACACCAUUUUGCUUAGCAGCAUCAAACAAAGAAUAGAACACUGAGAAACCUUUAUAUUCUUCAGAUAAUUAUUUCAGGGAAGGCUCACCAGGAAGUAAUAGGAGUGGCAUGUGUUAAGCAACGCAUUGUGUGCCCGAUCGUGACAGGUUGGUAACGUAGACUCCAAGGGGAUCCGGCUAGGUUAGUCCAGGUUGUUAGCAUGUUUAUCUUUGUAACAACUCUAUCUCUAUCCUCUUAUCCCUUGUAUCCCAAGUUGUAAUCUCAACCAUGUACGCGAUCUGGGAGUUGCGCCCCAGCAUAUAAACACGCAGCCGUCGGUCAGACGAAGACACGACGUUAACCUAAAGAGUUUUACAUGGUAUCAGCCUAACUCUUCCACAUCGCAUCUCCUAUCCCCAUCCACCACCUCCGCCUCCACCAUGGCCGCCUCCUCCAGCGCCGCACCAACCAACCUCUCUGGUCAGGUCACCGAGAAGCUGACACGCACCAACUACAUCCUCUGGCGGACUCAAGUCAUGCCGCAGCUUCGUGGUGCUGGCUUCUACGGGUAUGUCGACGGCUCCAUGCCGGAGCCGGCCCGACUCGUCGUCACCAAGGACAAAGAAGGGAAGGAGGAGACUUCCCUGAACCCCCUUCAUCCGAUCUGGAUGCGCGAAGAGCAGCAGGUACUUGGCUACCUUCUGAAUAAUCUCUCCAAGGAGGUACUUGUGCAGGUCACCACGAUCGAUCAUGCGCAAGAUCUCUGGACAGCACUGGCGAACAUGUUCUCGUCCCAGUCUCUGUCACGCGUCAACAACAUCCAUGUCGCCCUCGCCAAUGCGCAGAAGGGGACGCAGCCCGUCGCCAGCUUCUUCGGGCACAUGUGCUCACUCUCAGAUGAGCUCGCGGCGGCUGGCAAGCCACUCGGGGACGGUGAACUCGUCUCCUACAUCAUCGCCGCCCUCGACAUGGAGUACCAGCCACUCGUCUCCGCGCUCGAUGCCCGCACCACGCCCGUCUCGCUUGACGAUCUGUUUGCUAUGAUCAGCAACUUUGAUCAGCGGGUUGCCCUCUAUCAAGGGGGCCACUCUGGCGGCGGCUUCAAGUCCUCCGCUAACGCGGCCAUGCGCGGCCAUGGCGGCGGCUCCCGUCCUUGAGGGCGCGGCAGGGGCAGGCACAACAGCGGCCCCAACAACAGCAGCAGCAACUCCCAUGGCCACAACGGCGGCGGUGGCCGGCCCUCCUCCAACAACAGCCAGGGCCGCCGCAACAACUCCAACAACAGAUCGCGCCCCGAUGCCGUCCGGUGUCAAAUCUGUGGUAAACCUGGCCACUCGGCCAAGGAUUGCUGGUACAGGUUUGACGAUGAUGAUGACUCCUCUCAGGACGAGAAGGUAGCUGCUGCGGCCGAUGGAUCGUAUGGCGUGGACACCAACUGGUACAUGGACAGUGGUGCCACGAACCACAUCACCGGCGAACUCGAGAAGGUGACCAUGCGGGAGAAGUACCGCGGCCAAGAUCACAUCCACACCGCGAGUGGAGAAGGUAUGAAGAUCCGUCAUGUUGGUCACUCAAUUAUUAAAACCCCUCAUCGUCCAAUUCAUCUUCGAAAUUUUUUGCAUGUCCCUAGUGCAUCUAAAAAUCUUCUCUCCGUUCACCGCAUUGCUAUUGAUAAUCACGUCUUCCUCGAGUUUCACCCUUUCUUCUUUUUGAUCAAGGAUCAGGUAACGAGGAAGGUACUGUAUCGAGGUAGAUGUGUUCGCGGGCUCUACCCCUUGAUUCCGGAGCUUCGAAGAAGAUUCAAUAAACAAGCCUUUAGUGCCACCAAGCUAUCCUCUACACGGUGGCAUGAUCGUUUAAGACAUGCAGCUUUUUCUUUAGUUGAACGAGUGCUUAGGAAAAAUAAAAUCCCGUUUGUUGGAGAGCAUGAUGUUGAAACUAUUUGUGAUUCGUGCCAAAGAGCAAAAAGUCAUCAGUUACCAUAUCCAAUUUCCACUAGUGUUUCAACCAAACCAUUGCAGCUUAUCUUUUCUGAUGUGUGGGGGCCUAUCCCAUCCUCUGUUGGUAGACACACAUAUUAUGUGAGCUUCAUAGAUGAUUAUAGCAAAUAUUCGUGGAUUUAUCUCCUCAAGAAACGUUCCGACGUGUUCCAAGUUUUUCGUAACUUUCAAGCACUCGUUGAACGUAAGUUUGACAGCAAAAUACUUGCCCUCCAAUCUGAUUGGGGCGGUGAGUAUGAGAAGCUCAACUCGUUCUUUCAAGAACUUGGUAUCUCUCAUCAUGUGUCUUGCCCACACGCUCAUCAGCAAAAUGGGUCGGCAGAACGCAAACACCGUCACAUUAUAGAAGUUGGCUUAGCACUUCUUGCUGGCGCCUCCAUGCCACUAAAGUUUUGGGAUGAGGCGUUCCUCACUGCCGUUCACAUCAUCAAUAUGCUUCCAAGCCAUGUCAUCAAUAAUGAAACACCCACAGAAAAACUUCUCCAUACCAAACCAGACUACACUUCCCUUCGUGUGUUCGGCUGCGCUUGUUGGCCCAACCUUAGACCAUAUAACAAACGCAAACUAAUGUUUCGAUCUAAGCAGUGUGUCUUCAUUGGCUACAGUGCCAUGCACAAAGGGGUAAAAUGCCUAGAUGUCUCUACUGGCCGUGUCUACAUUUCCCGUGAUGUAGUCUUUGAUGAAACAAAGUUUCCCUUUGCUGAUCUCCACCCCAACGCCGGUGCCUUACUUCGUCAAGAAAUUCUGCUCCUGCCCUCUCAUCUCACCAACUUUGAUCAAAGGGGGAAUAAUAAUUGUGUUGAUUCAUCAUUGACUAAUCCUCAUAACCAUGUGCAUGAGCUCUGUGUUGAUGCAGCCGAAGGAAGCAUGAGCAAAAAUGGUGAAGAAAUCAGCCAAAAUGAUCAAGAAAUCAGUUCAAAUGGGCAAUAUUUGAUGUGUCCAGAUUUGGGAGGCAGCAAAUCUGCCUCGGGAUCGCUGCUGCAGCACCUGCCCAGGCCAUCCGCCUCGGGAUCUGCAUCGCUGCAUGGCGCCAGCGCGUCAGAAACCGCGUCGCCCACCAGGAGAAGCGGCGCCGUCUCUCUAGGCGCCACGCGGGCGGCAGCGACUCGUCAACCCGACGCCACCGAGCCGCACCAAUCCGAGGCGGCCACGUGUUCCCCUGGGAGGCGUUGGCCAGCAGACGGGCCCCGCUGCUAUGCACGUCGCCAGCCGACAGCGGGCGCGCCCACCUGCGCAGAUCUGACGGGCUCUGCGGGCGCGGGAUCCGGUGCUGAUCCUCUGCAAUCACUGCCUAAUGAUGGGGCAGCAGCACACACGGGAUUCUCUGUGCCGCCCGUGGCUGGCUCCUCACGCGCUGAAGCCGCAGAAGAUCCCGACGCGGGAGCAGCCACUGGAACAGCACCAGGUGCAUCCUCCUCGGGAUCAGAUGCGGGAUCUCCUGCGCCACGGGCUGGUGCAGUCUCGCCUGUGCAACCGCGCACUCGUCUCCAAAAAGGGGUAAUUCAACAUGUUAAUUAUAAAACAAAGUUUGGCUUGGCUUGUUCCUCCACAGGUGAACCUAGUACGGUUGAAGAGGCACUGAAUGACCCACGUUGGAGGAAGGCAAUGGAAGAAGAAUAUUCGGCAUUGAAGAAAAAUAAAACGUGGCAUCUAGUAUCUCCACGACGAGGUAAAAAUCUCAUUGACUGCAAAUGGGUGUUUCGCAAUAAAAGAAAAUCUGACGGAUCUAUAGAUCGUUACAAAGCAAGACUUGUUACCAAGGGCUUCAAACAACGGUACGGCAUAGACUAUGAGGACACAUUUAGUCCCGUUGUUAAAGCUGCCACCAUUCGUCUUGUGUUGUCUGUUGCUGUUUCCAGGGGAUGGAGUCUCAGACAAUUAGAUGUGCAGAAUGCGUUCCUUCAUGGCAUUCUGGAAGAGGAAGUAUAUAUGAAGCAACCUCCUGGGUUUGUGAACAAAAACUCACCACUGCAUGUGUGCAAACUUGAUAAAGCUUUAUAUGGCUUGAAGCAAGCUCCCAGGGCGUGGUACUCACGUCUAAAUCAGAAACUGCAAGCGCUUGGAUUUAUCCCUUCAAAGUCUGACACAUCACUAUUUAUUUACAAUAGGUCAAAUACCUCCAUAUUUGUUCUUAUUUAUGUUGAUGAUAUAAUUGUCACAAGUUCCUCUGAUGAAGCAAUAACAGGCCUCUUGAAGGAUCUAAGUGUUGAGUUUGCUCUGAAGGAUCUAGGAGACUUACAUUUCUUCCUAGGGAUUGAGGUAAAGAAACAUGAAGAUGGCCUUCAUCUCUCUCAGGAAAAAUAUGCUACUGAUCUGGUAAGAAGAGUUGGUCUUCAAGGAUGCAAACCUUCACCAACACCCUUGUCUAGUUCAGAGAAACUCUCACUUACAGAAGGAGAACCCUUGAAUCAAGAGGACAGUACAAACUACAGAAGUCUGGUAGGAGCACUUCAGUACUUGACUCUGACAAGACCUGAUAUUUCAUUUGUUGUUAACAAAGUAUGCCAAUUUCUUCAUGCACCCACUACAGUUCAUUGGACUGCUGCUAAACGUAUAGUAAGAUAUGUGAAAAAUACUAUGAAUCUUGGUCUUACUUUCAGAAAAUCUUCAUCUACCCUAGUCAGUGCUUUCUCAGAUUCUGAUUGGGCAGGAUGCAUAGAUGACAGACGCUCUACUGGUGGGUUUGCAGUAUUUUUUGGACCAAACCUAAUAUCAUGGUGUGCAAAGAAACAGGCUACUGUAUCAAGGUCAAGCACAGAAGCUGAGUACAAGGCACUUGCAAAUGCCACAACAGAAAUUAUUUGGGUACAGUCUAUGUUAAAGGAACUUGGUAUAAAGAGUACCAAAGCUCCGUGUUUAUGGUGUGAUAAUCUUGGUGCCACCUACCUAUCUGCAAAUCCAGUGUUUCAUGCAAGAACGAAACAUAUUGAAAUUGAUUUCCACUUUGUCAGAGAAAGAGUUGCAAAUCAGCAGUUAGACAUUCGGUUUGUGCAUUCUAGAGAUCAAGUUGCAGAUGGUUUCACAAAACCGUUGCCUACAAGAAGUUUUGAAGAAUUCAAGCGUAAUCUUAACUUGACAAAGUUGUGAUUAAGGGAGGAUGUUAAGCAACGCAUUGUGUGCCCGAUCGUGACAGGUUGGUAACGUAGACUCCAAGGGGAUCCGGCUAGGUUAGUCCAGGUUGUUAGCAUGUUUAUCUUUGUAACAACUCUAUCUCUAUCCUCUUAUCCCUUGUAUCCCAAGUUAUAAUCUCAACCAUGUAUGCGAUCUGGGAGUUGCGCCCCAGCAUAUAAACACGCAGCCGUCGGUCAGACGAAGACACGACGUUAACCUAAAGAGUUUUACAGCAUGAGCAGCAGCAAGCACAAGCCUGGCAUCUUGAUCUUGGAGACCUCCAUGUCAUCAGGAAUUAACACCCAAGGGAGAAAUGAAGCUAGCGGAGAGGAUACGGUGAAGAUCCAAAUAGGUUAGUGUCUCCUUGUCUUAUAGUCAUGGAUGGCCAGACCAUAUAAAAAAACUAUGUCGAAAAUAGCGAGUAUGAUGCAAUUAUAUCUUGAAGAUGCAUUUCUAUCUGGAUAAUGAAAUGAUGUCUUGCACCUUCAAAGUUCAAAGCAAUCUUGAGACUUUUAUGGAUGAAAACAAACAUAGGGAUGACGCGGCUCGGUGUUGUAUACAUUGGCGGAUGCUGAAAUUUUUGGUCUAGAUAGAGCUGACCUAUUUUUUUUAAAGGAGGAUAACCCCCGACCUCUAUAUCGAGUGAUGCAUACAACCAUUUUUUAUUAAUUAUUCAACAAAGCCUUACAAAAUAAUACAUCAAUUAGUCUGAAGCCAUCUUCCUGGUAACAUUUGUCGCUACUCCUACCAACUUGACGAAGGAUGUGCACAUGAUCGGAGCCGCCUGCCAAGACCUCACACCAACACCGAUCAUCUAAAUGUCUAGUGGACUAUCAGCGGGCACCGCAUGGGCAUGCUCCAGAGGCUGCCGCCACCAUCUUCCGCCGAUCCAUCUUCAUAAUUGGUAUCAAUGCAUUGACCUUGCCAGGCCUACCGUCGACGUUGCCACGACACCAGACAACGCCACCUCCCUAUGCGGGUCCAUCAUCACACAUCCAUCGCCAAGACCCUGCCGCGCCAUGCCUCCGAGACUCCACAUCGUCGAUGCAUCACAUGCAACGCUGCUCCACCGCUGAAACCAUCCACUGGUCCCUCAAGCAGAUGAACACCUCCAAGAAUGAUGCCCCAAGGGGGGAACGACACAUCAGCGCCACUAUCAUCCGAUCGACUGAUCAAGGGUUUCCCCUGAAGGUAGGGAAAGGAGGUGAGAGCUUCACCUCGAUGAUGCCUUCAAGAAGGAGACGGCGCCCGGGGCAUCGCCAUCACCGGCUCCGGCCACCGGCCGAAGACAAUAUCUUCACCCGGAUCUGCCCCAUGAGAUUCCAACCAAACAACCUGCGCACCUGCUAGACCACCUUCAAAGCCCCAGAUCUGGCCACCCAGAUCCGGCGACCACCACAGCAGCCGCAGGAGCCCUGAUGCUCCGGCCACUGCCAGCGUGCGCCACCACUAGAGACUGAGGAAGGGCCGCCACCCCACCCCGCCAAAUCGCGAGAGCCGGCUAACAACAGUAGAUGUGAUUACAUAGUCAUGUCACAAUCUUGCCUGGAUAUCAUCUUUAGUGAGAAAAAUCUCUCGCUUCUCUGGAGGCCAAAGAGGAAGCUGGCAGAGCUAGCACCAACUGUCUUCAUGUUUUGCUUUCUUCUUUUCUCUAAUUUUCCAGCUUUCCAUUGAACAAAAAACUAGAACACGUUAUUAAUUGAUUUACACAACGUUUAUAAUAUACAUGAAGCAAGUCUGUUCAUACCAGAGGAGAUGAAAUCUCAGUAGUUUUGAGCAAACUCUAUUGUCCAAUUGUUCAUGCUUACAAAGAAUUGAACCAAGAGAAUAACACCAUGAUCUUAUAGGCUUGGUUGAGAUGCUGACGGAGCUCUUAUUCUAUUUACCGGCACGCUUUAAAUCCUAUUGAAGGAGCUCUUAUUCUAUUGAUCAGCACGCUUAAAAUCCUGAUAAAUGUAAUUAGAAUCAAGGGAUAGCUGCUUGCUUGGUGGUUAGAUUGCUUUCAGAUUAUAGCUUCACGUCUAGUAAAGACUCGAAGGGGAAACAACGACAUCUAGCUGGCUUGGUUCUUUUAUACUAUCAAGCACAUUCAGCACCAACUACAAAUUCAUUGCACAAACUCACCAUGCAGACACAAUUAACCAUGAUUUGCAGUUACCAUGUACGGUGUACGUUGAGCAUUUCAGCUUCUCGAUCAUACAGAUACAAAAUACAUCUAGCACACGUUAUCCGAAUAACUUAACAAUGUCAAACACUAGAGAUAGAUUCACAUGCAGACACUCCAGAAGAUAUAAUCGCGUCACAACACGCUAUAUCUAUCUCUUCAUUUCUAGCUGCUCAUCAGGAUAGAACACAAAAGGCCGGUGAACUCUAUCGCAAUUCCACCUUUAUUAUGUUGCCAUGCGUGAAUUCUAUGUUGAUCUGCUCAUCACAGCAAAUACAGCAUAGAAGUCCACACAUAUAGUUCAUUAAACACACGAACGAUAUAUUACUGCUCCACAAGCAUCAUCAGCAAGGUUUCUUGCAGAGGCAGAUUGAAAAGGGAGGGUCGAAGGAGGUGAUCACACACUUCGAUCCUGGGAAGCCCUCCUUGUGGCAGUGAGUAGCACAUGUGUCAUCCCCACAUAAGAGAGGAGUGUAGGUCCUGCUGACCUCCGAGCAAGUCUUGCCUUCAGAUCCUGCAGUAAAAAUAAGGACAUCAUUUUGCGCAACGGCAUCAAAGAAAGGAAUAGGACACCGAGAAGAUGUUAUAUUCCUCGGAUUGUUAUUCCGGUCAAGGCUUACCAGGAAACAACAGGAGUGCCAUGAGCAAGAGCAAGCACAAGGCUGGCAUCUUGGCCUUGAGGACCGCCAUGUCUCGAGGUAUAAGCACCCAGAGAGGAAAUGAAGCUAGAUGAGAGGAGACGGUGCAGAUCCAAAUGUGUUUACGGCUUCUCUUCUUGUAGUCGUGGAUGAGCAGACCAUAUGAAAAGAAAACAAAAAGUAUGUCUAGAAGACGCAGUUCUAUCUGGAUGAUGCAAAGAUGUGUUGCACCUUCAAAGCACUCUUGAGACUUUAUGGAAUGAAAACAAACAUAGGGAUGAUGCAACUACGUGUUGUAAAUUGGCAGAUACUGAAAUUUUUGGUCUAGAUAGAGUUGACCCAUUUGGUUUGUUUAUUAUUAAAUAAUAAUUAUCUAAAGCGGCUAGAGCUUGAAUAGUAUUUGUGUUUUUAGUUGUUACUGUGUAUUCUGUUGUCCAGCUCAUCAAUACAGACAAAGAUUAGGGGUGAAGUGCUAAUGCCACUAAUUUAAGGGGGGAAACAAUAGGGCAUGGGCUUAUACUAUGUAUAUGAUUAUAAAUGUACUGAAAUAGAACUAUUUAGUUAGAUGUUCUUAUUUUGAGGGAGGGAGUUAUGUGUUUAGGCUGCAAUGUUUGUCCAUUGGAGAUUGUUCUUUAAAUGUUCAAGUGACAUCAGACAUGGGUUAACAUGCAAAAAAUGCAGAGGAUAUAAUCAAAUCAGAGAAGUUAUGCCUAGAAUGAACGAACGAACGUUCACCACAAAAUGCCACAGCGUGGCUUUGCAGCAUGCUUGAGGUCAUGAUGAUACCACGGCAAACGUGGCAGUUGUUAUUGCCCUAAAAAGGCCUACAGAGCUAUGAAAACAAUGCAAAGAGGAACAGACUUAAGACUCUCGGUCUGAUGUGGAUGUCAUCUUCAGUGAGAAAGAUCUCUCGCUUCUCUGGAAGCCGCAGAGGAAGCUGGCAGAGCUAGCACCAAUUGUCUUCAUGUUUUGCUUUCUUCUUUUUGUCAAACACUGUGCUAGAACACAUUAUCCUGAUAAUUUAACAACGUCAAACGCUGGAGACAGAUUCACAUGCAAACACUCGAGAAGAUAUAACCGCAUCACAUCACGGCUAUAUCUCUAUCUCUGCAUCUGUAGCUGCUCAUCAGGAUGAACCCAAAAGGGCCGAGAACUCCAUCGCAACAUUACCUUUAUUACAUCUUCUUAGGUGAACUCUAUGUCGAUCUUCUCAUCAUAGCAAAUACGACAUAGAAGUUCACAAAUAUAGUUCCUUAAAAACACUGCUUCAGAAGCAUCAUCAGCAGGGUUUCAUGCAGAAGCAGACUAACAUGGGAGGUUCUAAGGAGGUGAUCACACACUUCCCUGCUGUGUAGCCCUCGCCGUGGCAGUGCUUGACGCAUGUGUCACGCACACAUAAGAAAGUAAUGUAGGUCCGGCUGAUCGUCGUGCAGGUAUUACCUUCAGACCCUUCAGUAAAAAUAAGAACAUCAUUUUGCACAGCAGCAUCAGAAAAAGAAUAGACUACUGAGAAAGUGUUGUAUAUUCUUCGGAUAAUUAUUCCAGGCAAGGCUUACCAGGAAGCAACAGGAGUGCCAUGAGCAAGAGCAAGCACAAGUCUGGCAUCUUGACCUUGAGAGCCUCCAUGUAUGAAGCUGGCGGAGAGGAGAGACGGUGCAGAUCCAAAUAGGUUAGGGGCUUCUCUUCUUAUAGCCAUGGAUGAGCAGACCGUAUUAAAAGAAAAGAAAAACUAUGUAGAAGAAAGUGAGUAUGAUGCAAUUAUAUCUAGAAGAUGCAAAGAUGUGCUGCACCUUCAAAGCACUAUUGAGACUUGAUGUUAGAUAUGCAUCAUUCAAUAUGUGGAUAGUACAUUACAUGGAUAGAAAUGCAGACAUCUUAAAGCUUUUAACCAAUUGAAGUUGUUGCACAAUGCACAUCAGAUAAAUGAAGUCCUGGUUUUGCAUCAACUUUUGCACAAUGCAAUAUGUUUCCAUGCUAACAACAGCGUCGUGAAGUCACAUCUACCACUAAACUGCCGGUGAUAAGGCGAAGUUUAUAAAAGAAUAUGGAAAUGAAGAAACAGAAUGUUAUCGAAGAUAUAGUAACAUUGUGUCAGAUCCUAUAGAGGGAAAGAGUAGAUGACAGAAAUAUCUGAAAGGGAAAAUAAACUGAACUGAAUGGCUAUCUUAUAUCUUGGCACACAUGUUCCUUUCCUAGGGUUAAAUGAUCAAUAAAGUUAGAUUUGCCAGGACCUUUUGGGGCCAGCUUAAAGAGACAUGUAUAUACCAGAAGCUCACAUGAGUUGUAUGAUAUGAUCAUCAGGAAGUAGUACGAAAGUACAAGCUUGACACCUUGAGGAAUAUAUGAGCAUCACUGAUCUCAUCUUGUAGUCAUGGAUGAUCUGAAACGAAAUGAAACUCUGUUCUGAACACUUGAUUUAUUUAUUAUUCAAUAAUUAUUACUCCUGCGUAUUCAACGAGAGUGUGUAUAGUUUGCGUUUUUAUUUUUCCUGUGUAUUCAGUUGUCCAGCUCAUCGCUACAUUUUCUCCUGAUUCUCCAUUUACUGUUCAAAGCCUCAGACAAAGAUUAGGGGGUGAAGUGCCAAUGCCAAUACUGGGGUAAAAUAGGCUUUUCCUUUCCUGGAUAAAGUAAAAAAAAAAGAGUAGGCCAUGGUCUUACUAACUGUAUGAUUACAACCGAAUUGAAACAAGUUUCAUUUAGCUAGAUGUUCUAUUUUUUUAGAGGGAAAACUAUGGGUUUAUGGACUGUAAAUAAACAUUUGUCCAUUAAUAUAUAUGAUUACAACUAAAUGUAAAUUAUUUAGUUAGAUGUUCUUAUUUUGAGAGGGAAACCAAUGGGUUUAAACUGUAAAUAAACCCUUGUCCAUUAGAGAUUGUCAUUUAAAAAUGUUCAGGUAACACUAGACAUAGAUUAGCAUGCAAACAAUGCAGAGGAUAUAAUCGAAUAAGAGCAGCUAACUCUGUAUCUCUGCAUUUUGUAGCCUGUACCAUUGAUUCCAGUAGAGAAGACAAUGGCAUCAUUCUCUCCUUAUUUAGAUCAAGAACAAAUUACAUCAUUGAUGUGCUUCCUGCUCAUCAGGAUGAACCCAAAAGGGCGGCGAUCCCUGUCGCUAUUUUACCUUUGUAUCACCUUAGGUGAAUUCUAAGCUGAAGUUCACAUGGUUCCUUGAACACACACACACACAGACAGAAAGUUUCUACAAUCCUAUCUAAAACUAUUACUGCUCCACAUCAAACAAAACACACCUAUUUCCACAGUAACAACAACAUUG
rnacentral:lncRNA from 1 species